rnacentral:rRNA from 1 species
AACGAACGCUGGCGGCAUGCCUAACACAUGCAAGUCGAACGAGACCUUCGGGUCUAGUGGCGCACGGGUGCGUAACGCGUGGGAACCUGCCCUUAGGUUCGGAAUAACUCCCCGAAAGGGAUGCUAAUACCGGAUAAUGUCUUCGGACCAAAGAUUUAUCGCCUUUGGAUGGGCCCGCGUUGGAUUAGCUAGUUGGUAGGGUAAAAGCCUACCAAGGCGACGAUCCAUAGCUGGUCUGAGAGGAUGAUCAGCCACACUGGGACUGAGACACGGCCCAGACUCCUACGGGAGGCAGCAGUGGGGAAUAUUGGACAAUGGGCGAAAGCCUGAUCCAGCAAUGCCGCGUGAGUGAUGAAGGCCUUAGGGUUGUAAAGCUCUUUUACCCGGGAUGAUAAUGGCAGUACCGGGAGAAUAAGCUCCGGCUAACUCCGUG